CCUACGGGUGGCAGCAGUGGGGAAUAUUGCGCAAUGGGCGAAAGCCUGACGCAGCGACGCCGCGUGAGGGAUGAAGGCCUUCGGAUUGUAAACCUCUGUCAGCAGGGAAGAACGGUCACUGUGCUAAUCAGCAGUGAAUUGACGGUACCAGCAAGGGAAGCACCGCCUAACUCCGUGCCAGCAGCCGCGGUAAUACGGAGGGUGUGAGCGUUAAUCGGAAUUACGGGGCAUGAAGCGCUCGUAGGCGGUGUGUCAAGUCUAGGGUGAAAUCUCCGCGCUCACCGUGGGAACGUCCUUUGAAACUGGCAACCAGGAGGGUGUGAGAGGAUAGUGGAAUGCCAGGUGUAGGGGUGAAAUCGGUAGAUACCGGGAGGAACAUCAGUGGCGAAGGAGACUAUCUGGCACAUAACUGACGCUGAGGAGCGAAAGCGUGGGUAGCAAACAGGAUUAGAUACCCGGGUAGUC
rnacentral:rRNA from 1 species